AACGAACGCUGGCGGCGCGCCUAAUACAUGCAAGUCGAGCGAGAAGGUGUAGCAAUACACUUGUAAAGCGGCGAACGGGUGAGGAAUACAUGGGUAAUCUACCAUCGAGUGGGGAAUAACCAACCGAAAGGUUGGCUAAUACCGCGUACGCCUCCGAGUCUUCGGGUUCGGAGGGAAAGCUGCACUGUGAGUGUAGCGCUCUUUGAUGAGCUCAUGUCCUAUCAGCUUGUUGGUAGGGUAACGGCCUACCAAGGCUUUGACGGGUAGCUGGUCUGAGAGGACGAUCAGCCACACUGGCACUGCGACACGGGCCAGACUCCUACGGGAGGCAGCAGUAAGGAAUAUUGCGCAAUGGGCGAAAGCCUGACGCAGCGACGCCGCGUGGGGAUGAAGGUCUUCGGAUUGUAAACCCCUUCGGGAGGGAAGAUGGAACGAGCAAUCGUUCGGACGGUACCUCCAGAAGCAGCCACGGCCAACUUCGUGCCAGCAGCCGC
rnacentral:rRNA from 1 species